CAUAUAUUCCUCCGUCCGGAAAUACUUGUCGCACAAAUGGAUAAAAAUGGACGCAUCUAAAACUAAAAUUUGACUAGAUACAUCCAUUCCUCCGACAAGUAUUUUCGGACGGAGGGAGUAGUAA
rfam:Triticum aestivum genome assembly, contig: Triticum_aestivum_CS42_TGACv1_scaffold_641803_T_4DS-0.163751_4DL-0.100525